rnacentral:rRNA from 1 species
CCUACGGGAGGCAGCAGUGAGGAAUAUUGGUCAAUGGACGAGAGUCUGAACCAGCCAAGUAGCGUGAAGGAUGACUGCCCUAUGGGUUGUAAACUUCUUUUAUAAAGGAAUAAAACGAGGCACGUGUGCCUUUUUGCAUGUACUUUAUGAAUAAGGAUCGGCUAACUCCGUGCCAGCAGCCGCGGUAAUACGGAGGAUCCGAGCGUUAUCCGGAUUUAUUGGGUUUAAAGGGAGCGUAGAUGGGUUGUUAAGUCAGUUGUGAAAGUUUGCGGCUCAAACGUAAAAUUGCAAUUGAUACUGGCAGUCUUGAGUACAGUUGAGGUAGGCGGAAUUCGUGGUGUAGCGGUGAAAUGCUUAGAUAUCACGAAGAACCCCGAUUGCGAAGGCAGCUUACUAAACUGUGACUGACAUUGAUGCUCGAAAGUGUGGGUAUCGAACAGGAUUAGAUACCCUGGUAGUC